UAGAUUUAUAGAUAUAUCUAGAUAAUCUAGAAUGCUAAGAAUCUAGAUCUAGAGAUUCUAUAGAUCUCUCUAGACUAGUUUUAUUAUAAUAUCUAAUAGUAGUAAUAGGCUACUAGAUCUAGUACGAUAUAAUAUUAUUAAUAUAUAUAUUAUAUCUAGACUUGAGACCUAUUAAAUCUAGAUCUAGACGACUUAGACUUAACUUAAGUGAUUAACAUUCAUGCGUUAUGACUAGAUUUACUGAUUUACUGUUUAGAAUAGAUUCUAGAUCUAGAAUCUACCAUGAAAUGGCUAAUGCAUCUGCAGCAUAGAAUUAGAUUUAGUUAAGGACUUACUAGAUCUUAAAUCUAAAUCUACUACCUUUUAACUUUUAGGGCAGAAUAUUAGAUCUAGUCUAUAUGCCUAUCUAGUCACGUAACUGUAAACUAAUACUUAGACUUAGGACUUUGGACACUUUGAGUUGAAGAUAUCUACUUGGUAGUCUAAACCUCAAAGGAGCUUAGGGAAGUGAUGGCAGUUGCAGGGUAUGAACCAGACGACCAUGCAGAGACCAACGAGGCAACCAAACAGUCCAUCGUGCAUACCACAUAACCAGGUCCAGAAUGCCAGUUUUCUUUAAGGGCAGCUGACAAUAAGAAUUGUCUAUGUAUGCACUACAGAUGCUGUUCAAUAUCUUUUCAUGAGGAAGCCUGCUCAAAAAGAUCGCCACAUUUUCUUUAGGGGAAGUUGACAUUAAUCUUUUAGGUUAAUAAUAACCUAUGCAUGCAGUACAGAUGCUGUUCAUCAUCUUUUCAUAUGCAAGCCUGCUCAAGAAGCUGCUGCAUGGAAGUCAAAAUAUGAAUUAUUGCCACCAGUCUUGAAGUCAGCUUGUAAAGAAUGCUAAGAAUUGAAUGAAAAUGCUGUCUUGAUAUCUUGUUUGUGCUGUUAUAUUUGUCUUUUGUGUUGGUUAAUUAUUCCAUGAAUAAAAAAUAAAAAAAAGUUAAUUGUGUAAGUUUGAUUUAAGAAUAAAUGAUCAGAGCAUGCAAGUCUUAUAUAGUGCGUUACCAAAAAUUGUAUUGUUUGAUAGUGUUCAAACCCAAAAAUGUAAUUUAACUUGUCCAUUACUUUAUAAAUAUGUUGACAUUAUAGCUAGAUGUAUAUAGAAAUCAUGCACUGAUUCAAUUAUUAUAAUUUCCA